rnacentral:rRNA from 1 species
GACGAACGCUGGCGGCGUGCUUAACACAUGCAAGUCGAACGGAAAGGCCCUUCUUUUGUGGGGUGCUCGAGUGGCGAACGGGUGAGUAACACGUGAGUAACCUGCCCUUGACUUUGGGAUAACUUCAGGAAACUGGGGCUAAUACCGGAUAGGAGCUCCUGCUGCAUGGUGGGGGUUGGAAAGUUUCGGCGGUUGGGUAUGGACUCGCGGCUUAUGAGCUUGUUGGUGGGGUAGUGGCUUACCAAGGCUUUGACGGGUAGCCGGCCUGAGAGGGUGACCGGCAACAUUGGGACUGAGAUACGGCCCAGACGCCUACGGGAGGCAGCAGUGGGGAAUAUUGCAAAAUGGGCGGAAGCCUGAUGCAGUAACGCCGCGUGCGGGAUGAAGGCCUUCGGGUUGUAAACCGCUUUCGCCUGUGACGAAGCGGGAGUGACGGUAAUGGGUAAAGAAGCACCGGCUAACUACGUG